AUAACUAUCUACACGUACACACAUACAAACAUCUGCUGAUGCUUACUGUUGUCAGAUGAUUACAGUUUGUGCCUGUAUGAGAUGAACUGUCGGAAACCUAACAAGAGUUAGAUAAAACGUGGAUCCAAUGAUGAAUGCAAAGUAUUGCUGAUUGAUGCCUGAUAACCAUAAGUGGUGAAUGUGCUCUGCAGACACACUGCUUUGGACUUAGCCUGAAACAAGAUUCUGCUAAGAGAGUGAAAUCAUCAGAAUACAAUAGUUUCCAGGGGCAGAUGGUUUUAAACUCUUCUGUUAUGAAGGACAAUGAUGUAUAGGAAAGAGCUGAGAACUGAGCCCUAAUGUAUGACUGCCUGCACACUAAAUUUAUUACAGUACUGAUGGCUCUUACCUUACUGAUAGCAUUCAUGUACACAGCCGGAACAACUUCCACAAGCCAUUCCUCUAUUCAUAACAUCCUCAAAGACCACCAUAGCACAGAGCAAAAUACUCUGCUGAAAGCUUUCCCCAGGUCAACAAAUGCCAAGUACAAUGGUUUAUUCUGAGCUAAAUAAUUAUGCAGUUGCCUGACUUAAUCCAAUCACACACCAUGAGGUAAUCUUGAUUACCUUAUCCACUCACUUCUCUGCCACAAGUACACCUGCAUCACAUACCUCAUCACCACUCUCUACCCUGAAGAAUUUUCAUCUAUAUUCCUUGGCAAUGAGCAAUCUAGCUGAGGCUCUCUGCCAUCAAAUCUCUUGCACACAGCUACACUUCUCUACUCAAGAAUUUCAACAUUCUCACCAGAUGUAUGUAUGUGUGUAUGUGUGUA
rnacentral:lncRNA from 1 species